UACAGAGGGUGCAAGCGUUAAUCGGAAUUACUGGGCGUAAAGGGUGCGUAGGUGGGCGCAUAAGUUGGAUGUGAAAUCCCUGGGCUUAACCUAGGAACUGCAUUCAAUACUGUGAGUCUAGAGUAUGGUAGAGGUAAGUGGAAUUUCCGGUGUAGCGGUGAAAUGCGUAGAUAUCGGAAGGAACAUCAGUGGCGAAGGCGACUUACUGGACUGAUACUGACACUGAGGCACGAAAGCGUGGGGAGCAAACAGG
rnacentral:rRNA from 1 species